rnacentral:lncRNA from 1 species
UUGAAAGGGUGCCUUAGGUUUGAGUUAAUUGAACCUUUGCCUUCCCUUUCUUCAACUGUGACUCCCGAACCCAUUUUCUCUUGUUUUUCAAAGACCUGGAGUUGUCAAAAAGGGUUUUGAUUUAUUUGAUUUUUGUCAAAAAUAUUUUUUGGGUGACUUGGUAUACCAAAACUCCAUACCAAGUGGCGACUCCUAUUUUUUCUUAAAAACCCUUUUAGACUAAAUUUUGGACCCAAAUUGUCGCAUUCUUUUUAAGUCCCAUUAUAGGUCCUUUUUCAUUUAUUAUUAAUAAAUCACAUCUUUUAAACUAACACUUUCCUUUUCCAUCGCGAAAAAUGGGACGCGACAACUUGGCGACUCUACUGGGGACGCUAGAGAGUCCAAGCACUUGGUUUAGUUGUAUUUUCUCUUUGUAGCCCUUUUAUUUAUCAUAUUUGGAUGUUUUAGGUUGCAUUUUUCUUUUUUAGAAUGUUUUGCAUUUCACCCUCGUAUUCGUUCCUCGUAUUUCAUGUAUGUGAUGAAUGGUUUAUUUAUUUACUUAUUCGUAUCGCGCUUUGCAUUUGGGAUGGGGAUAUUACCCUAGAGCCCCACAUUGGUUCUCGAUCCCUCCCCUCCAAACCGAGCACUAGCAUACGUGCAUACGUUUUAUUUUUUAUCCCUCAUUUUUUUCUUUUAGUGGCUUGUCACGCCACUCUUCCCUGUUAGGAUUAGGCGACCCACUUGGACGUGUGAUCGCGACACGACGUGUGCGUAGCAUGAUCCAAGGGGUCACUCAAUCUUCCAUUUUAAGCUUUGGGUUGAUAGCCUUUAGCUUUUAAUCGAAGAUUGAGGAUUUUGAUAGAUUCACUUGGACAUGUGGCCGUGGCACGACGUGCACGUAGCAAUGUCUGGGGAAUCGCUCGAGCCACCGACAAAGAAUCUUGGGAUUGGUGACCUUUGGUUUUCAAGUCUGAAGGCUCGGGGAACUAAAACCUAUCGAAUCUAGAUGCAUUAGUGAGCCGAUACCUUAUGCAUCCAUGAUAAUUUACCUAAGGUAGAGUCUGCCUUACCCUAUUAGGGACACUAUUCACGAGGGGAGGGAUCCAACCCCUCGUUUCCUUUUAUUACUUUCUCUUUGUAUUGUUUUGCUAUAAUGUGUUAUGUGUAUUUAUCUAAUUGAACUAAUUUUUUUGGUUUUUGUCUCCAUUGCAUUCAUAAGCCCUAGAAAAUA